rnacentral:rRNA from 1 species
AAUUGGAGGGCAAGUCUGGUGCCAGCAGCCGCGGUAAUUCCAGCUCCAAUAGCGUAUAUUAAAGUUGUUGCAGUUAAAAAGCUCGUAGUUGAAUUUCGGGAUCAAUAUUUCGGUCAUGCCGUUGGUAUGCACUGUUAUCAUUGAUUUCUCACCUUCUAAAGAACCGUAAUGCCAUUAAUUUGGUGUUACGGGGAAUUAGGACUGUUACCUUGAAAAAAUUAGAGUGUUUAAAGCAGGCUCACGCUUGAAUACAUUAGCAUGGAAUAAUGAAAUAGGACAUCCGAUUCUAUUUUGUUGGUUUCUAGGAUCGAUGUAAUGAUUAAUAGGGAUAGUUGGGGGCAUUAGUAUUCAAUUGUCAGAGGUGAAAUUCUUGGAUUUAUUGAAGACUAACUACUGCGAAAGCACUUGCCAAGGAUGUUUUCAUUAAUCAAGAACGAAAGUUAGGGGAUCGAAGACGAUCAGAUACCGUCGUAGUCUUAACCAUAAACUAUGCCGACUAGGGAUCGGAUGAUGUUAAUUUUUUAAUGACUCAUUCGGCGCCUUACGGGAAACCAAAGUGU